rnacentral:rRNA from 1 species
UACGGAGGGUGCAAGCGUUAUCCGGAUUCACUGGGUUUAAAGGGAGCGUAGGAGGGCAGGUAAGUCAGUGGUGAAAUCUUUGGGCUUAACCCGAAAACUGCCGUUGAUACUAUCUGUCUUGAAUAUGGUGGAGGUGAGCGGAAUAUGUCAUGUAGCGGUGAAAUGCUUAGAUAUGACAUAGAACACCGAUUGCGAAGGCAGCUCGCUACACCUAUAUUGACUCUGAGGCUCGAAAGCGUGGGGAUCAAACAGG